UCCUACGGGGGGCAGCAGUGAGGAAUAUUGGUCAAUGGGCUUACGCCUGAACCAGCCAAGUCGCGUGAGGGAAGACUGCCCUAUGGGUUGUAAACCUCUUUUGUCAGGGAGCAAUUGGCGCUACGUGUAGCGUUAUCGAGAGUACCUGAAGAAAAAGCAUCGGCUAACUCCGUGCCAGCAGCCGCGGUAAUACGGAGGAUGCGAGCGUUAUCCGGAUUUAUUGGGUUUAAAGGGUGCGUAGGCGGAAUGCCAAGUCAGCGGUAAAAUCGCGGGGCUCAACCUCGCUCUGCCGUUGAAACUGGCGU
rnacentral:rRNA from 1 species